UAACAAGUGUCUAUUUGUAUGAUACCCAAAAGAGACCAAGGGGUAUUACUUCUAUCUUACUAACGGACAGAAGGUGUUCAUCAGCAAUAGGACAGUCUUUCUAGAAAAAGAGUUCCUUGGUGAAGAAACUAAUACCUCAAAGAUUGAACUUGAUGAAGUUCGAUCGGUAGAAGAUCCGACACAAUUUAGUAAACCUAUAGAGUUGGACUGAUUAGAUCAAAUUCAAAACCUGUUGUAGAAAUAUCUUUAAGG
rnacentral:lncRNA from 1 species